ACGGGUGUAGCUCAGCUUGGUAGAGCAGUGGUCUCCAAAACCAAAGGUCGGGAGUUCGAUCCUCUCUACCCGUG
rnacentral:tRNA from 1 species